GUCACCCCUGUCCCCUGAAGGCCUGUCACCUGAAGACAUCUCCACCAGAGUGACAGCUCUAGCCCUAGAUGGCCUGGGGCCUCUCCCCAGGGGUUGGCCUGGCUGGCUCUACCAAUGUUUGAGGCCCUGAGAAGAGCACGGGUGUCGCCUCCCACUCCUCCUGACAGCCGACAAUGAUCCAGUCACAGGGAGCCAUCCAUCAGUGUCGGGGGAAAAGAGUGGCCCUAAGGAUCCUUUCCCGCACACUCUUCGAAGCUGCUGGGUGCGAUGGGCAAGACAAGGAAGGAUGCCAGGGGUGGGCAGACUCGGGAAGGCAAGCCCUGGCUCAGAACUGCGGACGCCCUUCCCGAAAUCCCUCAGGCUCCGGCCAGUGGCCACGAUGAUGAGGCUCUCAUCUCGGAAAAGCUGGUGCAGCGGCCAGGGCUCCGGGCUGUCAGCCAGGCCUGCUGUCUAGGCGGCUCCACCUGGAUGCAGAAAGCGAGGGGGGCAGGGAGACGCAAUAGCCAGAAGACUGGACCUGCAGACUUGGGGUCAUCACCACUAUGGGAGCUCAGCUCAACGCAACCCCCCAGUCGCUGCUUUGCUAAUCCCUCCCUAUGGGAUCAGGGUAGUAGCCUUUAGCCAUAGCAAGUCAAGGAACACUUUCUUGUUACCUUUAACCAUCUGUAGCCUAGGCUGGUCUCAAACACAGUAAAUAGUUAGAAAAUGACUUUCAACUUCUGAUUCUCCAGCCUCCACCUCUCAAGAGACGAGAUUAUAGGCUUGUGUGUUCCACACCCUGUGAG
ensembl:processed_transcript Gm11523 predicted gene 11523